rnacentral:rRNA from 1 species
UACGGAGGGUGCAAGCGUUAUCCGGAUUUACGUGGUUAAAGGGUGUGUAGGCGGACUUUUAAGUCAGGGGUGAAAUCCCGAGGCUCAACCUCGGAACUGCCUUUGAUAUUAUUGGUCUUGAAUGUUGUUGAGGUGGGCGGAACGGGUCAUGUAGCGGUGAAAUGCAUAGAUAUGACCCGGAACACCGAUUGCGAAGGCAGCCCGCUAAGCAACUAUUGACGCUGAGGCACGAAAGCGUGGGGAUCAAACAGG